rnacentral:lncRNA from 1 species
AAUUCGCCCGUCUGAGUAGCAGUUGUCCUCAAGAGGAACGUUCUUUCGGUCUUCACCUUCGGAACCAAGUCUCCGGACUAGGGCAUUCAUAAUGUAAAAGAACAUAACAUGAAGUUGCACAUAUGUUUAUGACCCAUUCUUAAGCAGAUGCACAUAUCUUUAGAGAACUAUAAUGUAAAAGGAAAAAUAAAUUCUUCACAAUACUAAUACAGAACAGAAGAAUUGUGGAAAGGAAGGAGAGAAGAAAGCAUCAUCUAGAAUCUCUGUCACUUCUAUUAAUGGCCAAGCCAUUCAGCUCAACACUAAUGGAGAUUUAGGGACUUUGUACAGUAUAAUGCAAUGUGUAUCCAUGGAUGGAUCCGCCAAAAAACUAUCUGCAAUAACAAUGAAGUCGUCAGAUCAAGUGAUGAAAAGCAUAAGAAGCAACAGGGCAAACAUAACUAUUAAAACAAGCAAAUCCUAUUUCAGUCUGAAAGAAGUUAUUAAUCAGGCAAGCUGACUGAAAUUAACUGAAAAUGUCAUUAUGGCUCCAAACCAGAAACAUAACUGCAUAAGCGGUUAAAUUGGGCAGCUUAAGAAUGAUAUCAAGCAAUGGGCAUGAAACCUUUCUUCCCAGUUGAUGACAGAAAGGGAAUUAAAGUAAGGUUAAAAAAAUGACCAAGCACAUUUGCAACAAUCUACACAAGUAAAUUGUUUCAUUUGAUUCGGAAGAAUAAUAAAAAUGUUGAUCAUAUAUAAGCCUACACAAGCUAAUUAAUGAUCUUCGUGAGUAGCUAUUCCAGCUGGUGCCACUGAGACGGUGAAGAUUUCAAAAGCAUCACAGGGAAAGUUUCAUUCAGGAUUCAGGCUGAUCGAGGCUGGGUAUGGCCAUACCAUUCAAUUUUAGUACAAUACAGACCUACAGAAUGACACCCUUUAAAAUGGAAACAAUAAAACUUUGAACGCAGAAAAUUCUUUGAAAAGUUGUAACAUUUAUAGCCAUGGAAGUAACUAUUACCUCUUCAAAAUUGUAUCAGAAAUUAAUAAACCAUGAC